AUGAACGCUGGCGGCGUGCCUAAUACAUGCAAGUCGCGCGAACGGACGAGAAGCUUGCUUCUCUGAUGUUAGCGGCGGACGGGUGAGUAACACGUGGAUAACCUACCUAUAAGACUGGGAUAACUUCGGGAAACCGGAGCUAAUACCGGAUAAUAUUUUGAACCGCAUGGUUCAAAAGUGAAAGACGGUCUUGCUGUCACUUAUAGAUGGAUCCGCGCUGCAUUAGCUAGUUGGUAAGGUAACGGCUUACCAAGGCAACGAUGCAUAGCCGACCUGAGAGGGUGAUCGGCCACACUGGAACUGAGACACGGUCCAGACUCCUACGGGAGGCAGCAGUAGGGAAUCUUCCGCAAUGGGCGAAAGCCUGACGGAGCAACGCCGCGUGAGUGAUGAAGGUCUUCGGAUCGUAAAACUCUGUUAUUAGGGAAGAACAUAUGUGUAAGUAACAGUGCACAUCUUGACGGUACCUAAUCAGAAAGCCACGGCUAACUACGUG
rnacentral:rRNA from 1 species